rnacentral:rRNA from 1 species
AUUGAACGCUGGCGGCAGGCCUAACACAUGCAAGUCGAGCGAGCGGCGGACGGGUGAGUAAUGUCUGGGAAACUGCCUGAUGGAGGGGGAUAACUACUGGAAACGGUAGCUAAUACCGCAUACCAUCAGAUGUGCCCAGAUGGGAUUAGCUAGUAGGUGGGGUAAUGGCUCACCUAGGCGACGAUCCCUAGCUGGUCUGAGAGGAUGACCAGCCACACGGGAACUGAGAGACGGUCCAGCCGCCUACGGUAGGCAGCAGUGGGGAAUAGGGGAAAAUGGGCGAAAGGCUGAUGCAGCCAUGCCGCGUGGGUGAAUAAGGCCUGCGGGUUGUAAAGCACUUUCAGCGGGGAGGCGUUACCCGCAGAAGAAGCACCGGCUAACUCCGUGCCAGCAGCCGCGGUAAUAC